UAAGGAAUAUUGCUCAAUGGGAGAAAUCCUGAAGCAGCAACGCCGCGUGGAGGAUGAAGGGUCUAUGACUUGUAAACUCCUGUAAAGAAGGAAAAAAUUCCCAUUAGAUGGGAGAUGAUGGUACUUCUGGAGUAAGCCCCGGCUAACUACGUGCCAGCAGCCGCGGUAAUACGUAGGGGGCAAGCGUUGUCCGGAUUUACUGGGUGUAAAGGGUGCUCAGGCGGAUUUGUAAGUCAGAGGUGAAAUCUUACAGCUUAACUGUGAAACUGCCUUUGAUACUGCAAGCCUAGAGUAUGGAAGAGAGUGAUGGAAUAUCUGGUGUAGCAGUGAAAUGCGUAGAUAUCAGAUAGAACACCAAUGACGAAGGCAGUCACUUGGUCCAUUACUGACGCUAAAGCACGAAAGCGUGGGUAACAAACA
rnacentral:rRNA from 1 species